CCGAGGUCUGAGAAACAGCGGGAGCAAAGAGAGAGAGGGAGAAAGGGAUAGACAGAGUGUGGAAAAGGGAAAUAGAUUGGGAUUGAUGGGGAUGGAGAUACAACACAGUCACCCAGCACUGCUGUACACCUGGAUGCAAGAGCUGCACUGACAGAGGUCUGUUGAGUGGUGACGACAGAGUGGCCGGACAGACGGAGGCUAAGUGUCCACAUCAGUGAACGUCCUCAGCGCGGCUGUCAGGAGAACUGCCUAGCCAAUUGGGAGAGGUGAGGGGCGAGGCCGGCCAAUUGGAGGGGGAGAGAUGUUGGGGCAGGGCGGCCAUGUGGCCCUGGCUCUCGUGUCAUUACUGCUGCUACUGUGGCAUGAAGUGGCACCCAUCGAAGUCCCACAAGACCCAAAGAUCCUGCAGGACCGUAAG